rnacentral:misc_RNA from 1 species
UCUCCGUUGGUGAACCAGCGGAGGGAUCAUUACUGAGUUUACGCUCUAUAACCCUUUGUGAACAUACCUCUGUUGCUUCGGCGGAUGCGCCCCGGGCGCGCCUACUAGGAGGCGUGCCCCGGAACCAGGCGCCCGCCGGGGGACCUACAAACUCUUGUAUUCCUAGCGGAUCUCUGAGUGUGAUUUAAACAAAUCAAAUCAAAACUUUCAACAACGGAUCUCUUGGCUCUAGCAUCGAUGAAGAACGCAGC